rnacentral:tRNA from 1 species
UGGUGUCGGCGGGACCGGCGGGUACCCCGCCGGCAAUGGAGGCGCUGGUGGCGACGGUGGCCGCGCCGGCCUGCUGUUCGGUUCCGCGGGCGUCGG